UCUCUCUCUCUCUCUCUCUCUCUCUCUCUCUCAUGUCUUUUUUGUUUAAAAAAAGUUGUGCAAAUACAACGGCAGCCUAUUUCGAGAAAUUCUGGUUUUCCCAGGUAAGACGGGUCAAAUGACUAUUCCCUUCUGUCUAGUUCAAUUGAUUUUUUAAGCUAUUUUUACAUAAAUUAAAGAAUUUAUUUUUUAAUAUUUCAUCCGUUCAAAUUUAUGUGAACUUAUUUUUUUUUAGUUCAUGCUAAAAAAGAAUGACCAAUUUCCCUAUUUGGAAAUAAUUUACAAUGAUUUAUAGCCACACAAAAUAUAUGUGCCUCAUUUUACACAACAAGUUUAAAAGUCUUCUCAUUUUUCUUAAACUUUGUGCCCAAUCAAAUGAGUUCGCAUAAAUUGAAAUGGAGGAAGUAUUAAUUAACAAUAAAAUUGAUCAUAUUAACUUUAAUUUGUUUAUCGAAAAUAUAACAAAUACUCCUAAGCUCUUUACUCUAAGGGCAACUUUGAAAAAAAAAAUUAAUUCCUUUUGGAUAUAUAAAAAAUCAAAUAUUAUGGACUAACAAAAAAAAGGCAAAAUAUCAAUUAAAAUGAAUCGAAGAGAGUACAAUUUUAACUGAAAUAUUAAUUUGAAGAGCAUUUGAGUAAUUACAUUGAUAGCGUAACAUUGUUUUUACAUAAUCAGUAUAGUUUAAUAUCCCAGUGAGAUUAUAUUGAAAACAUUGUUGUAGUAUAGUUUAAUAUGUUUUAACAGGUUACUUACUAUUUGUUUUUCAUUAUCAACUAUUAAAUAGAAUUACUUAUGAGUACUUUUUAUAUAAUAUGAUUAUCAAAAUGUGAAUGUGAUUUAAGAACUCUUACGUGAAACGACAAAGGGAAAAGUAAAGGGUAACACGCCGUGUUUUUUUGACAGUAAAGUUGUGGUCAUCUUUAGUCACGUUUUAUGCAAUUAUGGUGUGGCAAAAAAGUAAAAAGAGGAAAGGGAAAAAAACACACGAGGGCUACAUAAAAGCAUAGGCGAGUUAAGGUCAAUUUUGCAAUUGACAAAAUAAAAAGAAAAUUGUAUUCAAUGGUUCUGUCAUUAGUAGUUCUUUUUAAUGAUUGCAAUUUUGUUUGCAUACACUAAAUUUUAUAGUUUUAAUCUAAAGUUUACACUCUUCCAUCUUUUCCUCCCAAACUAUUUACGAGCCAACUCUUCUAAUAAAACAAAACUAUUGACGAGAUAGGUUGAAUUUGAGCAAGUUUUUCCAUCUAUUAAGUGAUUUUAUUGGGUGGAAACUUACUUAGUUAACUUUGAGACGCUUUCUAGCAGUUUGAGGUAGUUUGUUUUUGUAUCUAUCACUUUAAUCGGCACUCAUUUGAUUAUAAAAAGUCAUAUAUUAUGACAUAGUUUCUGUUAUUAUGUGAAUUAAAAUUGUCAAAGCUAAUAAAUGGUGUAUAAAUUCAUUGUCGCUGUAAUAUAUAUAGAUAUGUAUAGAUAUAUUUGAAAUGUUUUAGAAUAUUCAAGAUUAAGAAUCGUGUCGGUAACUUAAUAGGAAACAGGAUUAAUUUCAAAUCUUAUUAAGGGGAUGAUGAAGUUCUAACUAUUGAAUAAUUGCAAAGAAAAGAGCAGGUCCUAUGUACAAAUCAUCUUGCGUCUAUGCAAAGUUCAAGUAAGGGUAGCAAUCCAGGAGUGUGAUUUAGGCGCCUGAAAGGUAAGCUUGCCGUUGAUCUAGUUUUACCUUGCCUACAGUGAAAAAGAUGUUCCAAAAAUAUCUACGAUCGAGUAAAUAGCUCUACGAACGAAUGGAUCGGAUCAGGGGCAGAUCCAGUUCAAUAGCUACGGGUUCCCAUGAACCCAAUAGCUUUUGUCUAGAACAUGUAUUUAUAUUGAAAAAUUCAUUAAAUGUAUAAGAAUAUUUAGCUUAGAACUCAAUCCGUUCAUCCAUUUAGUAUUGUAUAUUAACUCGAAAUUUUUAUAGGAACUCAUAAACCUAAAAUCUUGGAUCCGUCUCUGAAUCGGAUUAACUUAUCUUAAUGUAAAUAUUAGUGAUCAAUCUGUAACCUAUAGAUUACACAGAGAUAAUUUUAUUGGUGGCUCCCCUUCAAUAAUAUUGCAAAAGAUAUUACACAAACAAGUAGAGAGCAAUUGGGGCACAAAAGAUAUAUGUCCCCUAGAUGAAGCAAUAAUUAAGUAGGAAAAGAGUAUAUAUAAUUAUAAAUAAUACCCCAUAAAAUCCACUUAGCAUCGAAAUGAUUAUGAUUCAGAAGCUAAAAGACAAAUAAGGACGGACCACAUAGAGAAAUAACUAAAAAGUUCUCGUAGUGAUGGGAAGAAUCCAAGAACAUGCCAUUUGAAUAUAAAAUAAGAUACUCCCACCACCAUUGACUCAACAGGAAAAAAAAAAAAAAAAGGUAAAAAAUGAGCAUAUUCUAACAUUAUACGUAUUUUUGUGGUUCAUAUUAGUGCAACAACCAAUGUCUAUGACCAAGUGCACAUACUUAGUUCUUGUUCCCUCUAUUUUUAUUUUUAUUUUUAUUUUUGAGUCCGGAUUAAUUUGCGCACGUCAACUUCUUUCAUGCUGCUUCAAAAUAUAUUUUUUAAAUAUGUUUCAAAAGAAUUAUCAUCAUCAAUAUUUUAAAAGUUGUGUUGAAAGUUUAUUCUGAAGAAUGAAUAGGACAUAUACUUAUUUAAUUUAUGUGUCAAAAGUUUUAAUAAUUUAUUAAACUAUGUUCAUACUUUGUAUAAAUAUAUUAAGUUCGAACAAAUUAUUAAAAUUUAGUUAAGUUUUUUUUCUUUGAUUUUAUAUAAUAAAGAGUGCUAACUGGACGACAGAGACAAGUGGAGGAAAACAAAAAGAAAAGGAAGGCAAAGCAAGGGAGCAAGAUCACAGAGAAUCGCUUGCCGUUUGUUUGCAAGUUGUUAGAAACACGUGGCUUGUCUAUUUACGUCAUCACCCCACGCCCGCCACCCAAACCUUUUCUCAAUCUACUUCAGCCAAUAUUUUGGGUAGUCUCUUUCCUAUUCUUUUAAAUUAAAUAAAUGUCUGAAAAUAGUUGAAAUAUAAAAAAAUAAAUAUUAGGAGUAGUAUUAAUCCUAUUUCAUUUUAGGCCAAAUACAUAUACAGCGUGAUAAUCGGCUUAAUGUAUGUAUAUUUUGAUAUCGCCUCACAUUUUGCUCAUGUCUCGACGAUUUGAGAUGGUUAAUAUGAUUAUUUGUGCUAAAUUUUUGUAUUUCUAUGUGCAGGGAUCAUUCGGAUGCAAUUUGGGACGAAAGGGCGCGAACUAGAAUGAAAUCGGGACAAAAAGGCAAAAAGUGAAAUUUGAGGGCCACAGCCAGCGUGGGGCGCUGGCUGUGACGCAAUUUACAGCAGCUAAAAUAUUUGAGCGCACGGCCAGCGCCCCACGCUGCCCUGGACGCUCAAAAAACGUGAACAUGUCCUAUUUCGAUCGGGACUCGGUUAUUUCGACCCCAAGACGCCCUCAACUCAUAUAAAAGCC
rnacentral:lncRNA from 1 species